rnacentral:rRNA from 1 species
GACGAACGCUGGCGGCGUGCUUAACACAUGCAAGUCGAACGGAAAGGCCUCUUUCGGGGGGUACUCGAGUGGCGAACGGGUGAGUAACACGUGAGUAACCUGCCCUUGACUUUGGGAUAACUUCAGGAAACUGGGGCUAAUACCGGAUAGGAGCUCCUGCUGCAUGGUGGGGGUUGGAAAGCUUCGGCGGUUGGGGAUGGACUCGCGGCGUAUCAGCUUGUGGGUGGGGUAGUGGCUUACCAAGGCUUUGACGGGUAGCCGGCCUGAGAGGGUGACCGGCCACCUUGGGACUGAGAGACGGCCCAGGUUCCUACGGGAGGCAGCAGGGGGGAAUACUGCACAAUGGGUGGAAGCCUGAUGCAGCAACGCCGCGUGCGGGAUGACGGCCUUCGGGUUGUAAACCGCUUUCGCUCAUGACGAAGCUUUGUGUGACGGUAGUGGGUAAAGAAGCACCGGCUAACUACGUG